rnacentral:rRNA from 1 species
GACGAACGCUGGCGGCGUGCCUAAUACAUGCAAGUAGAACGCUGAAGGAGGAGCUUGCUUCUCUGGAUGAGUUGCGAACGGGUGAGUAACGCGUAGGUAACCUGCCUGGUAGCGGGGGAUAACUAUUGGAAACGAUAGCUAAUACCGCAUAAGAGUAGAUGUUGCAUGACAUUUGCUUAAAAGGUGCAAUUGCAUCACUACCAGAUGGACCUGCGUUGUAUUAGCUAGUUGGUGGGGUAACGGCUUACCAAGGCGACGAUACAUAGCCGACCUGAGAGGGUGAUCGGCCACACUGGGACUGAGACACGGCCCAGACUCCUACGGGAGGCAGCAGUAGGGAAUCUUCGGCAAUGGACGGAAAUCUGACCGAGCAACGCCGCGUGAGUGAAGAAGGUUUUCGGAUCGUAAAGCUCUGUUGUAAGAGAAGAACGAGUGUGAGAGUGGAAAGUUCACACUGUGACGGUAUCUUACCAGAAAGGGACGGCUAACUACGUG